UGAGAUAGCUGGGAAAAGAAGCUUCCGCGCGCGGCCAUUAUUUAUUUAUUUAUAAGCUCAUCGAUCCAUGCAUUUUUGCUCAAAACUAGCUUUACUGCCAAACUUACCUUAACGCCGGGCAGCAUGAGUUAUCAGCAAGCUCCAUAUGACGCACCUGGCUAUGAAGAAGCGCCGCCGACUCACGUCCACCACCACCAACACCAACACCAAUAUCCACAACCAGCAGAAGGGCCUCCGGCGCCGGGGUAUUUUGAACCUCCGCCACCACCGCCUCCUGUCGACGCCCACCACCACCGUCACGAGUCAGAAGGCUGCUGUUCAUGUUCGAUUAUGUGAUCAGCGCAACUGUCCUUCCAAGUCUGCAGCUCGGUUUGCCAUCUUUCUAUUGCUUAAUUGUAAUUCUUAUUUUCAUUUCUUUUUUAAAUUUCCUAUUCUGUAUUUGAUGCCUUAUCUUUUAUGUAAUAAUUAAAAGCCCAGUGGAUUUAUGGACUGAAUAUUGCGGUUAGUCGUCAUCAUCCAUCGAUCCAUCCAUCCAUAUCAAAUUUAUUAUGUUGUAAUCCCUAUGUACGCUACAACUUAAUACAAGAAUAAUAUUGUUACGUUGUAUCAGACAAGUAUGGUAUUAUAUUGCCUAUGUAUGACAGACAUGUACCCAAUUUAGUAUGUUGUGUUUGCGGGUUGACAUAACUCUAGUGCUGGCUGGGAUGAUUAUAUGUAUAUGUUCAAUAAAAAAGAUGUUAUUGUGCCCA